rnacentral:tRNA from 1 species
CAGAGAGUAGUUUAAUUAAAAUAUUAAUUUUGGAGAUUAAUGAUAGGGGUAGAGCUCUCUCUCUGA